GGAAAGACUCAAUUAGCAUUUCAGAUUGCCAUCAAUUGCGUCAAGAAUUAUGGGACUACCGUCCUCUACGUUGAUACUAAAGGGGAUUUCUCCGCCAUAAGAAUUCAAAAAAUGCUAGAAGAACAAAAGCUUUCACAUAAGGAUAUGGCUGCAAUAAUGUAUAAAAUACAAAUAGUCCAUGUAUGGACCAUGGAGGACUUAGUAGAGUUAUUCAAAAAUAUUAAAACAAAUCACUAGUCUUCGAUAACUUGGCAAUGAUUAUUGUAGAUUCUUUACCAUGUCUGAUGUUUCAACAUCUUGGCGAUGACAAUAAAAUAGGCCUUUCUCUUUUAAAUGCUGUGGUAAACUAUAGCAGAUACAUUUGCAAUGAAUUUGAUGUGGGAAUGGUAUACAUAAACAUACAAACACGAUGGAUAGACAGCGACAACACUGAUAUAGAAG